AGCGAACGCUGGCGGCAUGCUUAACACAUGCAAGUCGAACGGCAGCACACUAAGAGUUUGCUCUUACGGGUGGCGAGUGGCGGACGGGAGAGGAAUAUAACGUAACCUACUUUUUCGUGGGGGAUAACGUAGGGAAAGUUACGCUAAUACCGCAUACGACCUUCGGUUGAAAGCAGGGGAUCUUCGGACCUUGUGCGAUUGAAUGAGCCGAUGUGGGAUUAGUUAGUUGGGGGGGUAAAGGCCCACCAAGGCGACGAUCCGUAGAUGGUCUGAGAGGAUGGUCGGCCACACUGGAGCUGAGACACGGUCCAGACUCCUACGGUAGGCAGCAGUGGGGAAUAUUGGGCAAUGGGCGCAAGCCUGAUCCAGCCAUGCCGCGUGGGUGAAGAAGGCCUUCGGUUUGUAAAGCCCUUUUGUUGGGAAAGAAAAGCUGCCGGUUAAUACCCCGCUGUAGUGACGGUACCCAAAGAAUAAGCACCGGCUAACUACGUG
rnacentral:rRNA from 1 species